rnacentral:tRNA from 1 species
GUUUUUAUAGUGUAAUUAGCACGAGAAGUUUUCAAUUUCUAGGUAUAAGUUUUUAUUAAAAAUG